rnacentral:rRNA from 1 species
UACGUAGGGAGCUAGCGUUGUCCGGAAUCAUUGGGCGUAAAGCGCGCGUAGGCGGCCCGGUAAGUCCGCUGUGAAAGUCAAAGGCUCAACCUUUGAAUGUCAGCGGAUACUGCCGGGCUAGAGUCCGGAAGAGGCGAGUGGAACUCCUGGUGUAGCGGUGGAAUGCGCAGAUAUCAGGAAGAACACCAAUUGCGAAGGCAGCUCGCUGGAACGUAACUGACGCUGAGACGCGAAAGCGUGGGGAGCAAACAGG